CCUACGGGUGGCAGCAGUGAGGAAUAUUGGUCAAUGGGCGGGAGCCUGAACCGGCCAAGUCGCGGGAGGGAAGACGGUCCUACGGAUUGUAAACCUCUUUUGCCGGGGAGCAACUGGUUCCUUGCGGGGGCCCUCUGAGAGUCCCCGGAGAAAAAGCCUCGGCUAACUCCGUGCCAGCAGCCGCGGUAAUACGGAGGAUGCGAGCGUUAUCCGGUUUUAUUGGGUUAAAGGGGUGAGUAGGCGGGCUGUUAAGUCAGCGGUCAAAUGUCGGGGCUCAACCCAGGACUGCCGUUGAAACUGGCGGACUUGAGUGGGCGAGAAGUAGGCGGAAUGCGUGGUGUAGCGGUGAAAUGCAUAGAUAUCACGCAGAACUCCGAUUGCGAAGGCAGCAUACCGGCGCGCUACUGACGCUGAGGCACGAAAGUGUGGGUAUCGAACAGGAUUAGAUACCCCAGUAGUC
rnacentral:rRNA from 1 species